UUACUACUCUCUCCGUCCCAAAAUUCUUGUCUUAGAUUUGUUUAGAUAUGAAUGUAUCUAGUCAAGUUUUAGUAUUUAGAUACAUCCAUUUCUAGACAAAGUUAAGACAAGAAUUUUGGGACAGAGGGAGUACUAU
rnacentral:pre_miRNA from 1 species